AGAUGACAACGUUGAUAGGCUAUAGGUGUAAGUGCAGUAAUGUAUGUAGCCGAGUAGUACUAAUAACCCAUAGGCUUAUGUA
rnacentral:rRNA from 1 species